UUACCUUGUGCGACUUCACCCAGUCUGAAUCCUACCGUGGUAAUCGCCCCUCGCGCGGUUGAAACUAACUAGCUAUGGUAAGAGCCACUCGCAUAGUGUAACAGGCCCGAGUGGCCAGCGCGGAACCCAGGGCAAUAUUCCGCCGCGACGCUUUAAUCACCGAUUACUAUGAUUGCGACUUCCACGCGGUCAGUUUACGAACUGCGAUCCAGACUGAUCGGGUUUCAAGUUGGCUCCCCCUCGCAGGUUGGCGACCCUAUAUGCGACCGUUGUAUAACGUGUAAGCCCUACCGCAGGGCCACGCGGGACAACUCAUCCCCACCUUCCUCAAUUUGUCACUGGCGAUCUCGUCAGUGCCUUUCCUUAGCAGCUAAUGACAAGGGUUGCUCGUUGCCAGGACUUAACCAACAUCUCGACACGAGCUGACGACAGCCAUACGCUUUUCCUGUGUUUCAGUUCUCUUGCGAACUUUACUCCAAAUCUCUUCGGGUUUAGACAGCAUCGGGAGUAAGGUAAGGUUUUCGCGCGUUGCAUCGGAAUUAAUCCGCAUCAUCCGCGCAGCGCGGGUCCCCGUCGGUGGCACGGGUUUUAAUCUUACGGCAAGUACUCCCAAACUGAUCAACUUCGCGUUAGCUGCCUACCGGGCAAAGGCCUGACAGCUGGUUGACUUUAUCGUUUGGGGGCGUAGACUACCAGGGUAUCUAAUCCUGUUUGCUCCGCUUUCGUUGCGCGAGCGUCGGUCGAUAUUCCAUCCCAGAGAACUGCCCUUCGCCAUCAGUGUUCACUCCAUAUCUACGCAUUUCACUACGCGAAUUCACCUCCCUCUGACUUACCCACUCUAAGCUCAAUAAUUAAAAAUGCAGUUCAAGGGUUAAGCUCUGGGAUUCACAUCUUUCUUUUCCGAACACGCCUACCCUUACCGCUUUGCGCCAGUAAUUCCGUUAACGCGCACCUACAAUAUUGCCAGCAGCUACUGGCACGUCAAUUUAACCGGUGUGAUACACAGGUGCCGUCGAGUUUGCACGGGGUAAUGUCCCCGUGCCCGUUUCUUUCCACCCUUAAAGUUAUUUCUGACCGAGGCCUUCAUCACCCCACACAUAGAGGAUAGCUGGAUCAGGGUUUCCCCAUUGUCCAAAAUUCCCCACUGCUGCCUCCGUAGGAGUCUGGGCGUGUCUCGGUCCCAGUGGCUUCGGUCGUCCUCUCAAAACAGCUACGGAUCGUCGCCUUGGUGAGCCGUUACCCCACCAGCUAGCUAAUCCGAUAUCCAGCCAUACAAUUGCGAGGCGAAAGGGUCCCCGCUUUCCCCCGAAGGGCUUCGUAUGCAGUAAUGGCUACGCUUUCGCGCCAGGUUAUCCCCGCUACCGGCACGUUCCGAUACAUUACUCACCGUUCGCCACUCGCCACCAAGACCGAAGUCCGAUGCUG
rnacentral:rRNA from 1 species